ACGCCGCGUGGGGGAUGAAGCAUUUCGGUGUGUAAACCCCUGUUGCUCGGGACGAACNAGCGGUUUCGACCGCUCUGACGGUACCGAGUGAGGAAGCACCGGCUAACUCCGUGCCAGCAGCCGCGGUAAUACGGAGGGUGCGAGCGUUGUCCGGAAUCACUGGGCGUAAAGGGCGCGUAGGCGGUCUGCUAAGCGUGCGGUGAAAGCCCGGGGCUCAACCCCGGGUCUGCCGUGCGAACUGGUGGACUAGAGCACUGUAGAGGCAGGUGGAAUUCCGGGUGUAGCGGUGGAAUGCGUAGAGAUCCGGAAGAACACCGGUGGCGAAGGCGGCCUGCUGGGCAGUNGCUGACGCUGAGGCGCGACAGCGUGG
rnacentral:rRNA from 1 species